rnacentral:rRNA from 1 species
UACAGAGGGGGCAAGCGUUGUUCGGAAUUACUGGGCGUAAAGCGCACGUAGGCGGAUUGUUAAGUCGGGGGUGAAAUCCUGGAGCUCAACUCCAGAACUGCCUUCGAUACUGGCAAUCUCGAGUCCGGAAGAGGUGAGUGGAACUCCGAGUGUAGAGGUGAAAUUCGUAGAUAUUCGGAAGAACACCAGUGGCGAAGGCGACUUACUGGACACAUAUUGACGCUGAGGUGCGAAAGCGAUGGGGAGCAAACGGG